GUAGAUUAUGGAAGUGUGCAGUGUUUGAUGUCUAUAGAUCAUAUCUACAGACAUCAAACACUGCACUCUUCCAUGAUCUACA
rnacentral:pre_miRNA from 1 species